GGAGGAGAAGGGGACGACAGAGGAUGAGAUGGCUGGAUGGCAUCACUGACUCGAUGGACAUGAGUCUGGGUGAACUCCGGGAGUUGGUGAUGGACAGGGAGGCCUGGUGUGCUGCGAUUCAUGGGGUCACAAAGAGCCGGACACGACUGAGCGACUGAUCUGAUCUGAUCUGAUGUCUUUGAAAAAUUACCAAUUCUUUACCCAUUUUUACUGAGAGGCCGCCUCCUCCACGCUGAGUCCACGACCUUCAGACUCACUCCAUUCGCCCUCUCCCUGCAGUGGAGUUAACACCAACACUGAUGCCCCGGGGAGCAUUUGUCAUUGAUUGUGGCCCCAAAACCCACGAGGACAGGUGCUGAGAUUCACCAGCGUGCCCCCUGCCCUCCCACGGUCCCUGGCAUACAGCUGGCACCUUGAGAGUCUUUCCUGAAAGUUCCCCUGGCUUUGUUAGACCCAUAGUGGAGAUGAGUCGGCACCGGUGUCAGGGUGUGGGCUGAGUGUCUGCUGCACGCAGGGCCUGUGCUGACAACAGGAACCUACCUGCCCUGGCCAAGCUGCCAGACACGGUGGG
ensembl:lncRNA